rnacentral:tRNA from 1 species
GGGGCUGUAGCUCAUCGGUCAGAGCAGGCGGCUCAUAACCACUUGGUAGAAAGUUCAACUCUUUCCAGCCCCACCA